GACGAACGCUGGCGGCGUGCCUAAUACAUGCAAGUAGAACGCUGAAGGAGGAGCUUGCUUCUCUGGAUGAGUUGCGAACGGGUGAGUAACGCGUAGGUAACCUGCCUGGUAGCGGGGGAUAACUAUUGGAAACGAUAGCUAAUACCGCAUAAGAGUAGAUGUUGCAUGACAUUUGCUUAAAAGGUGCAAUUGCAUCACUACCAGAUGGACCUGCAUUGUAUUAGCUAGUUGGUGAGGUAACGGCUCACCAAGGCAACGAUACAUAGCCGACCUGAGAGGGUGAUCGGCCACACUGGGACUGAGACACGGCCCAGACUCCUACGGGAGGCAGCAGUAGGGAAUCUUCGGCAAUGGACGGAAGUCUGACCGAGCAACGCCGCGUGAGUGAAGAAGGUUUUCGGAUCGUAAAGCUCUGUUGUAAGAGAAGAACGAGUGUGAGAGUGGAAAGUUCACACUGUGACGGUAUCUUACCAGAAAGGGACGGCUAACUACGUG
rnacentral:rRNA from 1 species